rnacentral:rRNA from 1 species
AAAUUCCGCAAUGCGCGAAAGCGUGACGGGGGAAAUCCGAGUGCCAUACGCAAGUAUGGCUUUUAAUGAGUUUGAAUAACUCGUUGAAUAAGUGGUGGGUAAAUCCUGUGCCAGCCGCCGCGGUAACACAGGUAACACGAGUGGUAUCCACGAAUAUUGAGUCUAAAGCGUCUGUAGCCCGCUCAGCCAGUUUUCUGUGAAAUCUUAGCGCUCAACGUUAAGGCGUGCAGGAAAUACUACUGAGCUUGGGAGUGGGGGAGGUAACGAGUACACUAGGGGGAACGGUAAAAUGUUGUAAUCCUUAGUGGACUACCGGUGGCGAAAGCGCGUUACCAAAACACGUCCGACGGUGAGAGACGAAGGCUAGGGGAGCGAAUCGGAUUAGAUACCCGAGUAGUCCUAUGCAGUAAAUGAUGCAAACUUGGCGUUGCAGUUGCUUUGUGUGGCUGCAGUGCCGUAGCGAAGGCGUUUAGUUUGCCACUUGGGGAGUACGAUCGCAAGAUUGAAACUUAAAGGAAUUGGCGGGGGAGCACCACAAGGGGUGGAUGCUGCGGUUCAAUUGGAUUCAACGCCGGAAAACUCACCAGCAAAGACGGCAGGAUGAAGGUCAAGCUGAAGACUUUACCUAACAAGCCGAGAAGUGUUGCAUGGCCAGCGUCAGCUCGUGCCGUGAGGUGUCAGGUUAAGUCCUGCAACGAGCGAGAUCUUCGCCCAUUGUUGCCAGCGUCGUAGCAGUACGGCGCGCACUCUAUGGGGACUGCCCGCGUUAAGCGGGAGGAAGGAGAAGGCGACGCUAGGUCCGUAUGGCCUGAAUUUGCUGGGCCACACGUGGCAUACAAAGGAUGGGACAAUGAGUUCCAACGCCGAAAGGUGAAGGUAAUCCCCUAAACCCAUUCCCAGUCUGAAUUGAGGGCUGAAACUCGUCCUCAUGAAACUGGAAUCCCUAGUAAUCGCGUGUCAUUAUCGCGCGGUGAAUAUGUCCCCG